rnacentral:lncRNA from 1 species
GAAAAUGAACCGGAAGUGAAGAAUUCCUCAGCUGUGUCCCUCUCAUGCUUCAAGAAGCCGAACUUCUGCUUGGAGAUCAAGGCUCAGGAUGCAGGCAAGGCAAAGCUGCAGGAAGGAGGGAGUUGGACACACACAGAUAGUACCACCCAGAGAUGGCAGUAGAGUUUGGAAUGUUGCAUCUACAAGUCAAGGCGUGUUGCUGGCCCAGUUGGAACUGAGAAGAGUUAUCUGUUGCAGCAUCCCAGGGAAGACAUCCACAGAGGGGCCUGGCUUGCCUUUCCUGAGUGUAUCCUGGACCGCUGCAGAGGGAAGGAAGAUGCUGUCGUCCAUUCAGUUGCAGGGCCUCAUGGGGAGUGAGGCACAAGGCUUUGAUGAUUAAAGGGAAAUCAACAUGGGGCCAAGGGGAUCUUCAGGAGGGAGGUGUGACUCUCACAGCCAAGGUUUGGAGCCAGAGAAGUAGGUAUUGAAGAUGGAGAGACCAGUCAGGUGUGGUCAGGGAGGCAGGGGUGAUGAUGGAGCAGAACCUGGAGCCAGAGGCCACUGGUGUUGAAUACAAGGAGAGACCUGAACUUUGGUGUCAUGAUAAGGAGCUUUGGCAAUAAGACAGCAAAGGCACAGGAGUGACAGGAGAAGGUUUGCUCCUCAAGAGAUACACGAGGAUGAUGGACAUGGUCAACCCUGUGGCACAAUGGUACCCUGAGGAGAGAAGAGAAUCACACAUUCCUCAAGCACUGGGGUCCUCAAGAGAGGGGAGUCAUACAGAGGUUGGGAGUCCAACACUGCUGUCAUGAUACUGAGAACCAGGGUCUUGGGGGUGACCAAGGCAAGAGGAAGAAGGAAGAGGGAUCAGAGACAUUGAUGUAGAGACAUGGCCUCCAAAGGGAGUCGUUGCUGACAUACAAAGCAAGCAUGAUUCUCCUGAAAGGACCAUGAAACCCUGGAAGGAAGAAAAAGCUCCAUGAAGCUGUGACUCAGGAGCCAAGCACGCUGGUCCUCACCCUGUGGGCGGUGGGGUUACAUUGAACGAGAUGCAGGGGUUAGAAUCCCAGGCGUGUGCGUGGGAGGCUGGCUGCGACCGGGAAAGAGUUAAUAAUUAAACUAUUUGUGCUACUGUGGCUGGUCCAGGCUGGUGCAGGGUCCCUGGAGCUGACCUGACUCUAUGCCCUCCCUACCUCCUCCCGCCCCCGUUGGUAUGUGACCCACAAGGGAAGAUGACAGGAAGCUCGGGCUUGUGGGCCCCAAACAGUCUGAGCUUUGGAAACUGCCAGAACCGGAAACUAAAUGAGGCUGGUUAGGAAAAGCAGUUCGGCUUCACUUUAAAUGAGGAGAGUUCAAGGUGAGGGGAAGGAGCCAGUCUCUGGUGAGGCAGGGAUGAUUCGUUCUUCUCCAGUGGGGAAACUGAGGCUCACAGAGGUCGGGCAGUGGGGAAGGGUGGUUGAGUUAUGAAGUAUGCCUGCACCUCCCACUCCUGUAGGAGCCCCGAAAUCUGCCCUGACUUCCUGGGCUCCUGGAAGUCGUGAGCAAAAUGAUGUGGGGUGGGAAAUCUCUGUGAGAUGCGGACCAGUGGUACCCCUGUGCUCAGUGGGCUUCAUUCCUCUGGGAUGCAGGGUGCCAGAGGGCAUCAUUGUCCAAUUCUAUCCCUUCCCCACAUAUCCUGAGAUGGCAGAGUCUGUGUCCUGGCCUCAGGCUUCCAGACACCCUUUUGCAUCUUUACCCUAAAUGGCCUACCGUCCUUUCUUUGGGUCAGUGCCUAAGUGUUACUGCUUUCUCAGAGAAAGGUGCUCGAGUUUUGGAGGCCCUCGGGUAGCCCUCAGGGCUCCCGUCCACACUAUCUUAUUAUUUAUUAUCCUAUCUGGUCACCUCAUUAGAGCCCCCAGGAUAGCCUGGGUUGCAAAGAAAUUUAGUGCUCUUUCUCAUAGGGUUAGGGUAGGGCAUUGUGGCCCCGCUCUUCUAGCCACUUUCUGCCUGUGAUGUCGACUGUAGAAGAAAUGAUACCUUUCAAGGACUACUGAUGCCAGAGAGAGCCGGCUCCAGCAUGAGGUGCCCUUGGGGACCUAGGGGUUCUGCAGUUCAGUUACAAAGAGGAACAAAGAUAGGCAAGGCUAGCCAAUUCCUUCCAGGUGGUAGAAGGCCUGGGAAGGCAGUAGAGCUUUGAGAAGAGAGGGGGCCUUGAGGGGCUCAUAUAGGAGAUGAUCCUUUGCGACCUAGAAAAAGGGCCAGGCCUGCACAGAGGUGCUGUGUGUGUGUGUGUGUGUGGGGGGGUGGGGCAGCUGAGGACAAGGGUUGGGUGGUGCUCUGGCAAUGUUGAGACCAUGCAGCUACGGGCAAUGGAGAGUGACCGAUCUUGAUGGCCUCACUCCGUUCUCUUAUUCCAGGGGUGUGGGGUGGAGGGGCCCAAUUAGCCAUUGGACUCUGAGCUGUGUUGAGGUGUGAGCCCUGCUCUCUUCUUCUAGAAGAUGAUUUCCAUGAGGUGUCACCUGCCAUUGUGACACCUUAGUGGUCUCAAUACCUUAGCCUCUGAGGGAUACUCAAGUGUCGUGGAUGGCCUGGGCUUGCUGAGCCUUGGAGAGCUUGUCAACUCUGUGUGAAGGAUUCACUAGGAUCAGGAAGGAACUGUGAUCCUGUGAAGGUGCCUUUGUGAGGCUGGGGGUGAGCACAGUUAAAUGCUAAUAAGUGUUCUGGGAUGUCUGGCGGAGAGACCACAGGGCACAAUGGGCAGAUCAGUGCCGGAGGCAGAGGGCACAGGCCAUCUGGGAAAAUCUUUACCUUCCUACUUCCAAGUAAAAGGGUCCUAGUUCCCAAGGUACCUCCCAAGUCCCUCUCUGCUGCAGCUAUGAGGUCCUUCUCUGUCUUUGGGAGACCUUAGUCUGUACUGAUGUGAAUGGAAAGUUUUAGAACACACUGUUCAUGAGGGAAGAAGGCAGUCAUAUGUAGGCUCAUCCCAGAAUAGUCGCUUUUUGUGAAUGUCUUCAGAAAAAUAAAACAGGGUACUUCAGCUUGAAUCAGUAGAACUUGCACACAAAUCCCAUGUAUUCCCACUUACCCUAUAAUGUAAAAGUCCCACUUCUUGAGCCCUUACAGAUACAAGUCUAAGCCGUACAUAGUGGUGCAGACCGUUAAUCCCAGUCCUAGGGAGGCAGAGGCAAGCAGAUCCCUGUGAGUUUGAGGCUGGCUUGGUUUACAGAGUGAGUUCCAGGACAGUCAGAGCUGCACAGUGAGAUCCUGUCUUGAAAACAAACAAACAAACAAACAAACAACAAAAAGUAAACCUGUUAAUACUAAGUAACAGCAGCCCAGAGCCCUUUAAAAUAACUUUCAGGUGAAGGUGAAGGAGAGAGGUGUGUGUGUGGGUGCUCUGCACACAAAGGCACUAGCUAGUAAUAUGUGUAUCAUCUGUGCUUUCAACUCCCAUAAAAUGACCAUGAGGGUAAAAUAAAUAAAGUCUAAGAAGUAUAUAGGUGCCAUGUCGGCUGGUUUUAUGUCAACUUGACAUAGGCUGGAGUCAGCUGAGAGGAGCAAACCUCAGCUGAGGAUAUGCCUCCAAGAUUAUAAAGCUGUUGGGACAAAAGGGUAUUCUCUGUGACACACUACACUGUAGCUUCUAUGGAGAGAUGGUAUUUUAUUUUAUUUUAUUUUAUUUUACUCUUUUUUUUUUUUUUUAGGGGAGAGGUUGCAAGGGCCUGAGAGUGGCUAUGGAGGGAUGGGAAGAUGAGCGGGAUUGGGGUACAUGAUGUGAAAAUCAGAAAGAAUCAAUAAAAAGUUCUUUUAAAAG